AAGUCGUAACAAGGUCUCCGUAGGUGAACCUGCGGAGGGAUCAUUAUGUCUCUCUAGCUGCCAAAGCAAACAGCGAAAGCUGGACUAUGUUUUGGGAGCCAGUAUAACAUUUGUGUUUAGGGGGGUAAUCAUCUCCCUAAUAUUUCAUACUUCACAAAGCCCUAAUACGCUUUGGCCAAACAAACAAACAAACUUACAGGAACGAAAACAAACAACACACCCCAUUGGAUACCUUGGUUCCCAC
rnacentral:misc_RNA from 1 species